AUUGAACGCUGGCGGCAUGCCUUACACAUGCAAGUCGAACGGCAGCACGGGAGCAAUCCUGGUGGCGAGUGGCGAACGGGUGAGUAAUACAUCGGAACGUGCCCAGUCGUGGGGGAUAACGCAGCGAAAGCUGCGCUAAUACCGCAUACGAUCUAUGGAUGAAAGCGGGGGACCGUAAGGCCUCGCGCGAUUGGAGCGGCCGAUGUCAGAUUAGGUAGUUGGUGGGGUAAAGGCUCACCAAGCCAACGAUCUGUAGCUGGUCUGAGAGGACGACCAGCCACACUGGGACUGAGACACGGCCCAGACUCCUACGGGAGGCAGCAGUGGGGAAUUUUGGACAAUGGGCGCAAGCCUGAUCCAGCAAUGCCGCGUGCAGGAAGAAGGCC
rnacentral:rRNA from 1 species